rnacentral:misc_RNA from 1 species
GCAAACUUGGUCAUUUAGAGGAAGUAAAAGUCGUAACAAGGUCUCCGUUGGUGAACCAGCGGAGGGAUCAUUACCGGGUCUGACGACUGCCCGAACCAACACACCGUGAAUCAUAUUCUCUCUUCCGCUGCGGCGGGCCGCCCGCUGGAGGGGCCCCGGGGGGCCGAGAGGCCCCGGUCCGCCGAAGCGACCACUGAAGAAACCCUUCCAAAAGAUCUUCUGAGAGGCGCCGAUUGGCCUUCCUACGAAGGUAAUCACAACCCACAGCAAUGGAUCUCUUGGCUCUGGCAUCGAUGAAGAACGCAGC